GGGACCUUGUGUUCUUGGUAGAGAUAUCUGAAGAAAAAUAUUUCAUUUUGUGUGUUUUUGGAGCACACAAACUGAGGGCCAUAGUUAAUGACACAACAUGCUUCUUGGUGCACCCAGUGAGGGGACAAAGUGGAUUUACUGAAAGCCAAUACUUUAUACAGACCUUUUUAUGAUUAAAGAAUGGGCUAGUAAACUGACCAGCUGGGGGUCACUCUGUCAUUCUUUGGCAAGCAUUAAACUGCCAUCAUGGUGGUGUGGCCAUUAAUGCCUGAGCACCCAGGCUACACUCAUUAUCACAAUAUUAAAUUUGCUUUAUAAAGCCUUAACUGUAUUUCUGUUUGAUUGACAGAAAAAGGACAAAGAAGACAAAUCAGCAAAAUGGAGACGUCCAAGGAAGAAAUGAGAUCGAAGGUAUGGGCAGUUCUGAUGAUCGCACUUAUGCAUCUCUGGAUCUGUCAGUGGUUUCAUCAGAAUAUGACACAAUCAUGCAAAAGAAAUGAAGAAAACUUAUGUUGUGAAUACAUUUGGUGUAAUGAAGUUAUAAAUGCAAUAAAUGUCAGUAAAAUAAACCAUGA